UUGAUAACCUGGCAGGGGAGAUGCCAUGAUCCCAAAGGUGAGGGUGUCCAUCACACUCUGAUGUGGGGACCCCUGCGAUGUCCCCCAGUGUGGGAAGCCCAACUGCAUGACUUGUGGUUGGGGGGGCCAUGUCCACGCUUCCCCUG
rnacentral:snRNA from 1 species